AGAGUUUGAUCCUGGCUCAGAACGAACGCUGGCGGCGUGCUUAACACAUGCAAGUCGAACGAGAAAGCUUCCUUCGGGAAGUAAGUAGAGUGGCGCACGGGUGAGUAACGCGUAGGUAAUCUACCCUUAUAACUGGGAUAACAUUGGGAAACUGGUGCUAAUACCGGAUACACUUCUUUACUGCGGGGUAAAGGAGGAAAGGUGGCCUCUUCAUGAAAGCUACCGUAUAGGGAUGAGCCUGCGUACCAUUAGCUAGUAGGCGGGGUAACGGCCCACCUAGGCAACGAUGGUUAGCGGGUCUGAGAGGAUGAUCCGCCACACUGGAACUGGAACACGGACCAGACUCCUACGGGAGGCAGCAGUGAGGAAUAUUGCGCAAUGGGGGAAACCCUGACGCAGCGACGCCGCGUGAGUGAGGAAGGUUUUCGGAUCGUAAAGCUCUGUCAGAAGGGAAGGAGUGUUAUAUGUUUAAUACGUCAUAUAAUUUGACGGUACCUUCAGAGGAAGCACCGGCUAACUCCGUGCCAGCAGCCGCGGUAAUACGGAGGGUGCAAGCGUUGUUCGGAAUUACUGGGCGUAAAGGGCGCGUAGGCGGCUGGAUAAGUCAGAUGUGAAAGUCCAUGGCUCAACUGUGGAAGUGCAUUUGAAACUGUCCGGCUUGAGUAUCGGAGGGGAGUGUGGAAUUCCCGGUGUAGAGGUGAAAUUCGUAGAGAUCGGGAGGAACACCGGUGGCGAAGGCGACACUCUGGACGAAUACUGACGCUGAGGCGCGAAAGCGUGGGGAGCAAACAGGAUUAGAUACCCUGGUAGUCCACGCCGUAAACGAUGUGAACUAGGGAUAGGGGGUGUUGAUCCCUCCUGUCCCGCAGCUAACGCAUUAAGUUCACCGCCUGGGGAGUACGGUCGCAAGAU
rnacentral:rRNA from 1 species